rnacentral:rRNA from 1 species
GUUGAAAGCUCCGGCGGUGAAGGAUGAGCCCGCGGCCUAUCAGCUUGUUGGUGGGGUAAUGGCCUACCAAGGCGACGACGGGUAGCCGGCCUGAGAGGGCGACCGGCCACACUGGGACUGAGACACGGCCCAGACUCCUACGGGAGGCAGCAGUGGGGAAUAUUGCACAAUGGGCGAAAGCCUGAUGCAGCGACGCCGCGUGAGGGAUGACGGCCUUCGGGUUGUAAACCUCUUUCAGCAGGGAAGAAGCGCAAGUGACGGUACCUGCAGAAGAAGCGCCGGCUAACUACGUGCCAGCAGCCGCGGUAAUACGUAGGGCGCAAGCGUUGUCCGGAAUUAUUGGGCGUAAAGAGCUCGUAGGCGGCUUGUCACGUCGGAUGUGAAAGCCCGGGGCUUAACCCCGGGUCUGCAUUCGAUACGGGCUAGCUAGAGUGUGGUAGGGGAGAUCGGAAUUCCUGGUGUAGCGGUGAAAUGCGCAGAUAUCAGGAGGAACACCGGUGGCGAAGGCGGAUCUCUGGGCCAUUACUGACGCUGAGGAGCGAAAGCGUGGGGAGCGAACAGGAUUAGAUACCCUGGUAGUCCACGCCGUAAACGUUGGGAACUAGGUGUUG